AUUGAACGCUGGCGGCAUGCCUUACACAUGCAAGUCGAACGGUAACAGGUCUUCGGAUGCUGACGAGUGGCGAACGGGUGAGUAAUACAUCGGAACGUGCCCGAUCGUGGGGGAUAACGAAGCGAAAGCUUUGCUAAUACCGCAUAAGAUCUACGGAUGAAAGCAGGGGACCGCAAGGCCUUGCGCGAACGGAGCGGCCGAUGGCAGAUUAGGUAGUUGGUGGGAUAAAAGCUUACCAAGCCGACGAUCUGUAGCUGGUCUGAGAGGACGACCAGCCACACUGGGACUGAGACACAGCCCAGACUCCUACGGGAGGCAGCAGUGGGGAAUUUUGGACAAUGGGCGAAAGCCUGAUCCAGCCAUGCCGCGUGCAGGAUGAAGGCCUUCGGGUUGUAAACUGCUUUUGUACGGAACGAAAAGACUCUGGUUAAUACCUGGGGUCCAUGACGGUACCGUAAGAAUAAGCACCGGCUAACUACGUG
rnacentral:rRNA from 1 species